UGCACCAACAAAUCAGGAGGUUAGUUGUCUAAGUGCUACCAGCCAUGCCCGCAGUUCAUUGCAGCUGCUUUUUAUUUGGAAAAUCAUGCCCCUAAGUCUGAAGGCCUGUCUGAAAAUCACCCCAUUGUCUGCUUCUGCAGGUAAGCAAAGAAAGAGGGAGAAAGGGAUGCACACGCAGACAUCAACACAGAUUUCCAGCCUGAAUUUGUAUCACUUUUGGUUCUUCAAAGGUAAACAAAUAGAUUGGUGUUUUUCCCCUCCUGCAGCUGCUGAGCUGGUGUGCGGUGUCUUUUGUAGAGAGAGCCCUUUAAAAGCUCUGGGAAGCAGUUCCAGCAUUUUCUGUAGGUGCAGACAGAUAAUUGAAUGCUUUCAAAGAACACUGUGAGGCAGGAAAACUUCAAUUUUGCAGCAUCGCGUUCUCUGCAUGGACUGAGCUUUGUGCCUUGGUUUGUGAUGGUUAUUCCCUGCUCUUCUCACAGCUAUUCUUCUGGGUGUACUUAUAGAGCACAGAAGCAGACCAUAGAGGCUCUUGGGACACAUUGCAUCAGGCCUGCAGUUAAAAAGCUGAAAGAAAAAAUCUGAGUGACACAGGAACAUGAUAGC